UACAGAGGUCUCGAGCGUUGUUCGGAUUCAUUGGGCGUAAAGGGUGCGUAGGUGGUCUGGUAAGUCGGAUGUGAAAUCCCGGAGCUUAACUUCGGAACUGCAUUCGAUACUGCCGGACUGGAGUACUUAAGAGGAUCGCGGAAUUCCCGGUGUAGAGGUGAAAUUCGUAGAUAUCGGGAGGAACACCAGUGGCGAAGGCGGCGAUCUGGGAAGAUACUGACGCUGAGGUGCGAAAGCGUGGGGAGCAAACAGG
rnacentral:rRNA from 1 species